UCAGAUAUUUCGUGACUGCAUCUGCAGCGGAUAUAACAUACCGGGCUCUGUGUGGUCAGAAAUGAGCAAAACGACUACAUAGCUGCCUGCUCCGGUGUGUCUCAUUGAAG